CGAACGUAGAGGGGGGGAGCUAUUUUUAGGUUAGAGGGGACAGGCGUUCGUACGCCGGUGAUUUUCUCGACAGUCAGCACAGGUUACCCUAAGUGGCUGCUCAAAUAGUUUCCAUCUACACAACAGGACAAGCGGAUCAAGCAAAAUGGCGGACGACGAGAAAAAGAAGUUGGAGGAGGAAAAGAAGAGAAAACAAGCUGAAAUCGAGAGAAAAAGGGCCGAGGUCAGGGCCCGUAUGGAGGAGGCCUCCAAGGCGAAGAAGGCCAAGAAAGGUUUCAUGACACCCGAGAGGAAGAAGAAACUGAGGCUGCUGCUGAGAAAGAAAGCCGCUGAGGAACUGAAGAAGGAACAGGAGAGAAAAGCGGCGGAAAGGAGGCGCAUCAUCGAAGAACGCUGCGGUAAACCGAAAUUGAUCGACGACGCUAAUGAAGCUACGUGUAAACAAGUCUGUGAACAAUACUAUAGACGCAUCUCCGAACUUGAAAAUAAGAAAUACGAUCUAGAGAAGGAGGUGGAGUUCCGGGACUUUCAGAUCGCCGACUUGAACAGCCAAGUGAACGACCUCCGAGGCAAAUUCGUCAAGCCCACCCUGAAGAAGGUGUCCAAGUACGAGAACAAAUUCGCCAAGCUACAGAAGAAGGCGGCCGAAUUCAACUUCCGUAACCAGCUCAAGGUCGUCAAGAAGAAAGAGUUCACCCUCGAGGAGGAAGACAAAGAGAAGAAACCAGACUGGUCCAAGAAAGGAGAGAAGGAAGAAGACGCCGCCAAACCUGCUGAGGAGGCAGCCGUCCCAGCCGAAGGACAACCUCCCGUUGAAGGACAACCUUCUGUCGAGGGUCAACCAGAAUCUCAACCCGAAGGGCAACAGGUGGCUGAAGGUCAACCGCCCACGGAAGGCGAUGGAGGCGCUGCAGUCGAAGGCCAGACACCUGCUGAAGGACCGCCUGCCGAAUCAGUGGCUCCGAUAGAGGCCGAAACCAACGUCGAAGGAGAAGCUAAGCCUCAAGAAGAGGCACCACCAGGCCCUUUCGAGACUUUCAAACAGCUCGUGAUUAGUGAGAAUUACGAUUUCGUGGCUUUACCGGAAGCGGUACUUGCGCCAACCGAUGACGUAGAGGCCGUUAAAAUCCCCAACUACUCGCUGAUCGAGAAUCGUAAGAACAGUGGCGAAGGGGUGGUGCUUUACAUCAAGGACUCGCUUAAGUUCAAAGUGGUCGACCUGACCUCCGAAAACCCUGAGACUCAGGUUACCUUCGAAUCGCUUAUCGAGAAACUGAAGAGCCAGGCUGUUCAACCAGCAGAAGGGACCGCCGCGGAGACUACCGAAGUGGCCGCCGCCGCUCCCGCGGAAGGGGUUCCCGAAGGAGCCGAAGUACCGGCGGAAGCUGCCGCAAAACCCGAAGGAGCGGAAGGGCAACCCGCUAAACCUGCCGAAACACCGGCGGAGGGCGGCGCGGAAGCGCCACCCCCGGAGGCGGCUACAGCUGAAAUGACUCAGGUACCGGAAGGGGACGCGGCGCCGGCGCAGACGGAGGAGGUGCAGGUUCUAGUUGCGGAAGCUGUGGGUGUCGUCGCUGAAGGGGCGAAUGAGUCAGUGGCAUCGGAUGCCGAAGCCGUAGCGUUCGAGCAACCUAUUGCUUCGCCGCCCAUGAUAGAGUGAUCCAUUGCCCAGAAAUCAUUAACUCAUACUAGCAUUUCAUCAAAACGUAUAUAAACGAGCCGCCGCCUAAACGCGGCCGCCGACCAACAUCGGACCCCUAUGCGCGCUAAACGCGCUUUUGUGAAUAUUUAUAUGCCCCGUAGUAGCGUUUGCCGCCUGUUUGCGUUGAUACUAUCGACAAAUUGAGUGUGAAAAGCCUAUAUUUGUUAUAUUUUUCAAUAAAAUUUUAACGCAAUAUGUGC